AGGACGAACGCUGGCGGCGUGCUUAACACAUGCAAGUCGAGCGGUAAGGCCUUUCGGGGUACACGAGCGGCGAACGGGUGAGUAACACGUGGGUGAUCUGCCCUGCACUUCGGGAUAAGCCUGGGAAACUGGGUCUAAUACCGGAUAUGACCUCAGGUUGCAUGACUUGGGGGUGGAAAGAUUUAUCGGUGCAGGAUCGGGCCCGCGGCCUAUCAGUCUUGGUUGGUGGGGUAAUGGCCUACCAAGGCGACGGACGGGUACGCCGACCUGAGGAGGGUCGACCGGCCACACGUGGGACUGACGACGACCGGCCCAGACCUCCGUACGGGGACGGCGACGCGAGGUGGGGAAUAGUUGCACGAAGU
rnacentral:rRNA from 1 species